AUACGGAGGGUGCAAGCGUUAUUGGGAAUCACUGGGCGUAAAGGACGCGUAGGCGGGUUGGCAAGUCAGAUGGGAAAUCCUACAGCUUAACUGUAGAACUGCAUUUGAAACUGCUAACCUAGAGUAUGGGAGGGGGAGAUGGAAUUAGUGGUGUAGGGGUAAAAUCCGUAGAUAUCACUAGGAAUACCGAAAGCGAAGGCGAUCUCCUGGAACAUAACUGACGCUAAGGCGUGAAAGCGUGGGGAGCAAACAGGAUUAGAAACCCCAGUAGUCC
rnacentral:rRNA from 1 species